AUGAAACUAAUAAGUUGGAACUGCCGGGGGUUAGGGAAUGGCCUGGCAGUUCGUGCACUCCUGGAUCUUGGGAGGAAGUAGGACCCCGAUAUUUUGUUCUUGGCUGAGACUAGAAUGAUGGAGGAGGAGAUGGAAUGGCUGAGGUGGAAGCUAGGGCUCGCUAGCAUGGUGGCUUGGAACCCGGAGGGGAGGAGCAGGGGGGUGGCGUUGUUCUGGAGAAGAGGGGUGGAUGUUACCUUGAGGUUGAUGGGGAGGAGGCAUAUAGAUGCAGAUGUUAUGGAUGAGAAGGGGGUCUCGAGGCUUACUGGGGUGUACGGGGAGUCACAAUGGGAGAAGAAAGUGGAGACCUGGAGGGUUCUACGCACACUCAAGCAACAACACCAAGAGGGUAGGGCAUGGAUGUGUCUUGGAGACUUCAAUGACAUAUUGAGCAACGAUUAG
rnacentral:rRNA from 1 species